GUCUUCAUGGUGUAAUUGGAAGCACACUUGGCGUGUAUUCAAGAGGUCCGAGGUUCGAGUCCCGGCGAAGGCA
rnacentral:tRNA from 1 species